GCAAGAAUACAGAAAUUUACUCAUAGGUAUCAGGUAUGGUAUUACCAAGUUCUUUCUAUUGAAAGUCUCAUUGCAAGUGAAAGUUUUUACUGACGACAAUGUAAAAAAAAGUACUUCUUAAAUGUCACCUAAUGCCUAACCAACAGGACUAGAAAACGAGAGAGCAUACCCGAAUAGCAGAAAACUUAUAAGGAUGUGACGUACCAGACGACUCGCGGGUUUUGCUUUGAAAACCAUGACUCCACGUAACACAAA